rnacentral:rRNA from 1 species
UACGUAGGUGGCAAGCGUUGUCCGGAUUUAUUGGGCGUAAAGAGCGUGUAGGCGGCCAGGUAGGUCUGCUGUGAAAACUCGAGGCUCAACCUCGAGACGUCGGCGGAAACCAUCUGGCUAGAGUCCGGAAGAGGAGAGUGGAAUUCCCCAGUGUAGCGGUGAAAUGCGUAGAUAUUGGGGAGGAACACCAGUGGCGAAGGCGGCUCACUGGACCGGUACUGACGCUGAUGCGCGAAAGCGUGGGGAGCAAACGGG